UCUCCCGAACCGUUUAUCACUUGGACACUUCACAAAACCAGUUAAACAAAAGAACAGACACACCAAUGAACAAAAACUCAGUCCUCCAUUAAUGGCCGCUACAGCUGCAACACUUUCAUUCUCUUUAAACCUAUAUUCAGAUCCCCAAACCCACCAAAAAUUCUCACCUGCAAUUUCCAAUUACCCGUUUUUAACUUCUAAAAAACCCCACCGUCCCCACCUCAAAUCCUUCUCCUCCCACUCCUCUCCGCCGGCAACAGAACAAACCACCGGACCCUCUUCAAACUACUCAAAUCUCGAAGAUUCGUUCAAGCCCGGGAGGUUCUUAACCAAUGAAGAGCUCGAACAGGUUAGAAAACUCGAGAACUUUACAUAUUUCCAAGAAUUAAAAACUGGGUCCUUACUCAUUAGAGUGAUGAGGCCAGAUGAAAUGGACGUCACCGUUAAGUUAUUAGCUGAGUCUUUUGCUGAGUCGAUGCUGUUGCCUUAUGGGUACGUGUCUUUGUUGAGAUUCUUGGUGAAGCAGUAUUUGAUUGAGAGGGGUAGUGUGAUGCCGCAUGCUGUUACUCUGAUAGGGUUUUACAGAGAUGGUGAUGGUGAAGAUGGGGAGGAGAUGGUGUUGGCUGGGACUGUGGAGGUUUGUUUUGAUAAAAGAGGAGCAAAUGCUUCGCCUCCUACGCCUACUCCGCCCAAGAAUUCGCCUUAUAUUUGUAAUAUGACUGUUAAAGAAUCACUUCGCAGGAGAGGCCUUGGUUGGAAUCUUCUGAAGGCCAGUGAGGAACUGAUUUCUCAGAUGAGCUGCGAAAGAGAGGUGUACUUGCAUUGCAGAAUGAUUGAUUCGGCUCCCUUCAAUAUGUACAUAAAAGCGGGAUACAAUGUUGUCAAUACGGAUAGUAUAUUUGUCUUGUUGAUGUUGCAGAGGCGCAAGCAUUUGAUGUGCAAGAAACUUCCAGUCUUAGAUAAUUCUUCAGAAGUUGCUUUGUCAGACUCUGAUAUGGAAGUUUCUUCAUAAUUGGAUUUGCGGAUGCAAUAAUAUGCGUCUCUAAGGUUCUUUGUACAUUAUCUGACCAGAUUGUGGUGAUCAUCAACUCAGGAGGAUUAUGGCGGGGAGGUAGUUCUGAUUCUGUGGCAACUCCUUGCUUGUAAUUUGUUGUAAUUGUGGUAGAAACCUCUUGUGUUAAAGGUAAUUUGAAACAGAUAUUCAUACACUAGAAACCUGUGCUUCCCGUCAGCGCAAUAUCCUCUCAAUGAAACCAGAUUUGGGUGGUCGAGCCGGCUCAAGAUAUCAACUUCUACACGAAACUCUCUUUCUCCAUCAGCUUCUUUAAAUGACGGCAACUCCAUUUUCUUGAUUGCUACAACCUUCAUGUUACAGAGAAAACAAAUAGUUUGUGUUUAUAUAACUGGUCUGUGAUCUUGACAAUUUUUAUUUCAAUAAUCAUAAACUUUACUGAA